rnacentral:rRNA from 1 species
UACGGAGGGUGCGAGCGUUGUCCGGAAUCAUUGGGCGUAAAGGGCGCGUAGGUGGCCCGGUCAGUCAGUGGUGAAAGCGCGGGGCUCAACUCCGCGUCGGCCAUUGAUACUGCUGGGCUUGAGCACUGUAGAGGCAGGCGGAAUUCCGGGUGUAGCGGUGGAAUGCGUAGAGAUCCGGAAGAACACCGGUGGCGAAGGCGCCUGCUGGGCAGUAGCUGACACUGAGGCGCGACAGCGUGGGGAGCAACAGGAUAGAUACCGUUGUA